GCAAAAGCUUCCACUGUGGAGAAUGGUACCUCAAGAAACAGACUUGAUACACAACAAAAGCUCGACACGAAACACACUUAUAUGUCUGUUCGUGAAAGGGCCUCACUCCAAAGAGAGUAAAGAGUAGAAACAAUGAGUAUCUUUCAUCAGCAAUUCAAUUUAACAUUUAUUUUCCAGGUAACGUCUUUAAAAAUCAAGUACAAUCCAUUCGCAAAAGCCUUUUAGAUGCUAAGGAAAGACCGUCGGAGAAUGCGUAUCAAAGAGAGACCAACACUUCCCAGUCUUCUCAGUAUUCACAAUGCAAAAGUAUUACAGCGAGUUCGUGGCUAGUGCCGUCGGUUCAAAGUUCUGUCCAUUCAAGUUAUGACCGAAGUUUAUCGAGUAGCAGACAUCACAGGCACUCACCGUAUCCUCCAAGAUCCAUACCAAAUUCUCAAUCCUCACAAUCAAUUGGCGGAUACACAUGCGACCUGCCAUCGGACUCGACAUCCCCAGCGGGUCUCUGCUCAGUGGCUAGCUUCAGCUGGGGGGCCCAGAGCCCACCCCCGCUCUUCAGCUCCUCCAUCUCGCCGCCACCCCCGCUGGCCAUCAUCACGACCUCGCAGUCCCCCAUGACGUGCCCCUCACCCGUCUCCAACUACUCCGGCUGGCACCCCUUCCCCCCACCGCCGCCGCCCCCCGACCAGUACCCCCUGCACCACUACCAACACGAGUACAUCCCCUGCCGAUCAUCCACUCCGAGUACCACCACCCCCUCGUCGACGCCAACGAGCGGUGCAACCUCUUCGUGGACUACGACCACGCCCGCAUGGCCCAGGUCAAGGAGGAGGAGGCCUACCGGGAGCAACUGUCACCCCCCGCCCCUCCACCACAGAGGAGCCCCUUCGUCAUCGAUUCCUGGCCCCAGCUCACCACUGCGCCCACGCACACCAACCUGUAGCGCUGCCAAAAAGUAUGACGAUAGGCAAAUGAUUUGGUAGUGCUGGUCACAUAUUGGAAAAGAAAGUUUCUUAGACAGAUUUUCUCUUGAAUGAAAAGGAGAUCCGCUUAAAUUAAGUGGCUUGGCUUUCGAUUCAGGCUAAAACCUGAUCGAAUAGAGGGUACUUUUUCUUGUCAAUUUUUUUUAAGUAGGCAUGCUGAUAUUGUUGGUAUUAAUAGACAAAACGAUAGACAAAUAAGACAAAAAGGAUAUGGAGGGAUCCUAUUAGUGGAAGCACGUGGUUGCAAUGGAUAAAGGAGGUAGUUAAUAGACUACCAGCGACAACCCGCGAGAGACCCUUAGUUAGUCCAUCAUUUGUUCCCUUAUAGUCUUUAACAACGGAGAAUUUGCACACAAAAAUUUUAUUGCUUCAUCUGAAAGUGCGUAAUAAGCUGAGUUCGCAGUAUUUUUCAUAAUUUUUUUCUGAAAUGGGAAAUUGGAGAAAAAUUGAUUUCAAAGUGAGAAAAUGUGCCGCCUUAUGACGUCAUCUGGCGGCGUUCCCGUUUAAACACAUGUAAUUUAGCGGAAUCGGUUAUUUCAUCAUAUCUCCUCUAAUAAUUGCUUAAUUUAUAAAUCAAGGGUAUUUUCGUGUUCAGUUCACUCAGUAGAUUCCACUUAAACCCGAAAAAUAUCAAAUUUCAGACCCUUGCAAAUUCUCCAGUAUACCCAUUUCAACUAACAGGAUCGUUCCAUACGCCUUAUGUCUUCUUUGUCCAUCGCUUUGUCUAUCAGUUUUAACAAUCAGCCUGCUGACUCGUAAAAAAUUCACGAGAAAAAAUACCCUCGAUUCAAUCAGAUUUUUGCCUGAAUCGAGAGCCAAGCCUUGUACUUUAAGCGGGUCUCCUAUGGAUUCAGGCAAAAAUCUGUACCUUAUCUUGUCAAAUGUAUUAAGUAGAAGAGUCUGGGUUCUAGAUCCAAGAGCCUUUUUUCCCAGCGCAGGAUCGUGUUUUAAUGCUUGCAUUUUGAAGAUUUGUAAGUACUAUUGCAUUUGUAAGAUCUGCAGGAGUUUAAGGCCCGAUUUACAUUUUUAGAGCCCUAGGCGUGGGAGUUUCCAGACCUUCUCUUCCUUCCAGAUCAACAAAAAGAAUGUUUCAAAUCCGCCUAUAAAAACCAUGAUUUCAAAUAGUUUUGAGGUGUACGUCCUUUUAAGAAAAUAUAGAUGUUCGAAAAAAAGAAGAAAAAAAGGAUUUGGAAAAUAAAAAGCGACCAAAAAUUUGAAAUAACAGUUGUAAUACGCGGCGGGUUUUUAACCUGUACUCAACAUUAAGAAGUCCAAAAUUUAAACCCUUUUGUAAUGUGCGGCAACUUCAAUACCUACAGUUAGUCAAUAUAUUCCCCGUUCAUUGAUAAAACACCAACUCAUAAUCAUGAUCUUUCCUUUUGGAUGGGGGACUCAUCCGUUCUUCUGUAGGUAUAAAACGUAAGAAUUAAACCAACCCAUUGAUCGAAAGUGGAUGCAAAUAAUUAAAUAAGACCAAUUAAAUGAAUACCCUAUACUUGAGCCCAUAUAAUCCGUAUAAUCCCUGUGAAUUUGUACAUAGAAAUGUCAUUAAUUAUUUAAUUCAGAUAUAUAUUAAUUUAUUUUGUAUAUUGUCAAUUUGUACAUAACGGAAUGCUCAUAAUACCAAUUUUGAGCACGAUUUCAAUCCGAAAUAUCAGAUAUCCUGUAAUUUCGAACGAUUUGAAAGAAUAAUCUCUGUAGCAUUGGAGUAAAUGUAUUAAACAGUUGGUACCCUCUGAUCUUCGCUUCCGGCGAUGAAUAUUGUAUGGCGAACGGUUGGGUUUUUGUACAUUUUUGUUAUUAUUAAAAGUUGAAAUAAAAUAAAAGUGCAAGU
rnacentral:lncRNA from 1 species